GAUGAACGCUGGCGGCGUGCCUAAUACAUGCAAGUCGAGCGAACAGACGAGGAGCUUGCUCCUCUGACGUUAGCGGCGGACGGGUGAGUAACACGUGGAUAACCUACCUAUAAUACUGGGAUAACUUCGGGAAACCGGAGCUAAUACCGGAUAAUAUAUCGAACCGCAUGGUUCAAUAGUGAAAGACGGUUUUGCUGUCUCUUAUAGAUGGAUCCGCGCCGCAUUAGCUAGUUGGUAAGGUAACGGCUUACCAAGGCGACGAUGCGUAGCCGACCUGAGAGGGUGAUCGGCCACACUGGAACUGAGACACGGUCCAGACUCCUACGGGAGGCAGCAGUAGGGAAUAUUCCGCAAUGGGCGAAAGCCUGACGGAGCAACGCCGCGUGAGUGAUGAAGGUCUUCGGAUCGUAAAACUCUGUUAUUAGGGAAGAACAAAUGUGUAAGUAACUAUGCACGUCUUGACGGUACCUAAUCAGAAAGCCACGGCUAACUACGUG
rnacentral:rRNA from 1 species